AGCAAAAGAAAGCAACAGGAAGCAGAGAUCAAAAUUCUUAUUCACGUGGACAAUUUCCAAGAAUUGAUUGAAGCCCCAACUAAAAUACGUUGGUUGUGGAAUUUAUUUAUCAUGCUCAUCAUAAUAACAGAAGAUAUUUACAUAAUAUAUUAUCGUGUGGAAUUCAAACCUGGGCAUGAUGAGUUCUUCUACAAACUGAACUUUUUCUAGCAAGCAACACGAACAGGGAAAUUGACGAGCUUAAAAAAAAAAAAGGACAUUGACGAAAUCAUUUAAAUUGAUAUCCGCAACUGAGUACGUAUUUGAUGAAAUCAUUAAACUCGUGUAACUCGAUAACCCCAUCUCCAUUUUGAUCGCAAUGUUUGAGCGCACGGUCAGCUCUAAAUCCAGGGACAAAUGCGCCAAGUUUACUUAAGGCUUCUUUUAUCUCGUCUCUGCUGAGAUGAUUGUCUUUGUUCACAUCGAACCAAUUGAAUAACUGCACAUUAGGAUCAUCAACUCCUUUAUCCCUUACACGUAAAACCAUUUUGCAAGGGGGGUUUUUGGUUGGCUUAACCAUCUUGCAAGAACACUAAAAAUAUAUUGUGCUAUAUAGCAAGGCUAAU
rnacentral:misc_RNA from 1 species